AUACGUAGGGUGCAAGCGUUAAUCGGAAUUACUGGGCGUAAAGCGUGCGCAGGCGGUUUUGUAAGACAGAGGUGAAAUCCCCGGGCUCAACCUGGGAACUGCCUUUGUGACUGCAAGGCUAGAGUACGGCAGAGGGGGAUGGAAUUCCGCGUGUAGCAGUGAAAUGCGUAGAUAUGCGGAGGAACACCGAUGGCGAAGGCAAUCCCCUGGGCCUGUACUGACGCUCAUGCACGAAAGCGUGGGGAGCAAACAGGAUUAGAUACCCUGGUAGUCCACGCCCUAAACGAUGUCAACUGGUUGUUGGGUCUUCAUUGACUCAGUAACGAAGCUAACGCGUGAAGUUGACCGCCUGGAGUACGGCCGCAGGGUUGAAACUCAAAGGAAUUGACGGGG
rnacentral:rRNA from 1 species